rnacentral:rRNA from 1 species
GUGGGGAAUUUUGGACAAUGGGCGCAAGCCUGAUCCAGCCAUGCCGCGUGCAGGAUGAAGGCCUUCGGGUUGUAAACUGCUUUUGUACGGAACGAAAAAGCUCUCUCUAAUACAGGGGGUGAAUGACGGUACCGUAAGAAUAAGCACCGGCUAACUACGUGCCAGCAGCCGCGGUAAUACGUAGGGUGCAAGCGUUAAUCGGAAUUACUGGGCGUAAAGCGUGCGCAGGCGGUUAUGUAAGACAGAGGUGAAAUCCCCGGGCUCAACCUGGGAACUGCCUUUGUGACUGCAUAGCUGGAGUGCGGCAGAGGGGGAUGGAAUUCCGCGUGUAGCAGUGAAAUGCGUAGAUAUGCGGAGGAACACCGAUGGCGAAGGCAAUCCCCUGGGCCUGCACUGACGCUCAUGCACGAAAGCGUGGGGAGCAAACAGGAUUAGAUACCCGGGUAGUCC